AUGCUUUUGUUUAUGGGCAUAGUUGGUGCAGCCGAGGUCGAGACCCUCAAAGGCACCCUUGCCCAAGCCCAAAAAGAGGCGAAUGCAUACAAGGCAGCCACUGACAAAGCGACUGCAGAACUGAAGACCGAACAGGCCGCCCGCCGACAAUACGGAGCUCGGGUGGCCGAGGUAGAGCAGGAGCUAAAGGACGCCAUCCUAAAGUGCGAGGGUUUGGAGAAGAAGGCUUCGGCUCAAUCGUCCGAACUUGCCAAAGCUCUCCAAGAUGCUACGGAUUCCUCUUCUUACUCAAGCCCGCUUAUCUUCUUCCUCGCGCAAUUCUCGGCCAACCCAGCCCUAACCACCUGUCUCCACCCCCACCCCCACGUUAAGUUUCUUACUCGGUCCCGCUGGCUAUUUUUGGCUCCCACUCGUACAUACCUCGGCUUCGUCGUGGCUGAUGAUCCUUGCGUCAUCCCCGUCUUCGACCUCGCGCUUCGCAGGUAG
rnacentral:rRNA from 1 species